UACGGAGGGCGCGAGCGUUAAUCGGAAUUACUGGGCGUAAAGCGCGCGUAGGCUGUUGUGUAAGUUGGGGGUGAAAUCCCACGGCUCAACCGUGGAACAGCCCUUGAUACUGCGCGACUUGAAUCCGGGAGAGGGUGGCGGAAUUCCAGGUGUAGGAGUGAAAUCCGUAGAUAUCUGGAGGAACAUCAGUGGCGAAGGCGGCCACCUGGACCGGUAUUGACGCUGAGGCGCGAGAGCGUGGGGAGCAAACAGG
rnacentral:rRNA from 1 species